rnacentral:rRNA from 1 species
AUGCAAGUGGUAGGAAUCUGAAAGGACCGACCUUCGGGAGCUUGCACAGGUGCUGCAUGGCUGUCGUCAGCUCGUGUCGUGAGAUGUUCGGUUAAGUCCGCUAACGAGCGCAACCCUCACUGUGUGUUAUAUGUGUCACACGGGACUGCCGGUUUAAGCCGGAGGAAGGUGGGGAUGACGUCAAGUCAGCAUGGCCUUUAUAUCCUGGGCUACACACACGCUACAAUGGUCGGUACAAUAGGUUGCCAAGCCGCGAGGCGGAGCCAAUCCACAAAGCCGGCCUCAGUUCAGAUUGUAGGCUGCAACUCGCCUGCAUGAAGAUGGAGUUGCUAGUAACCGCAGGUCAGCAAUACUGCGGUGAAUACGUUCCCGGGUCUU